GUUAAGGGGGAUGUUGUUUGGCUCGAAGUCAUACAGUCAUAGGAAGCACUUGAUCCUUUGUCUAUGUGAUCUCGGACCAGGCUUCAUUCCUCUAAAC
rnacentral:pre_miRNA from 1 species